AGAGAAGCAGACAUCUUCUAGUUCCUCCCCCACUCUCCUCUUUCCGGUACCUGUGAGUCAGCUAGGGGAGGGCAGCUCUCACCCAGGCUGAUAGUUCGGUGACCUGGCUUUAUCUACUGGAUGAGUUCCGCUGGGAGAUGGAACAUAGCACGUUUCUCUCUGGCCUGGUACUGGCUACCCUUCUCUCGCAAGCUGCCGACACACAAGCUCUGUUGAGGAAUGACCAGGUCUAUCAGGUGAGCGUUGAGGGGAAGGAGGCAGGAAUGAAGGGAGGGUAAGUGGGGAUAGAGAGGCUCACACUGAAUGCUGUUUGCACGUGGGAAGGGUCCUACUGGGGAGUUCAUUGCUGGGUGUGACUGGAGAGGUCAGGCAGGAGCUCUCAUCGUCAGGGCCUGCUGGGGCCCUUCCUUGAAGAGUUCUAACCCUGCCUCCUGACCGUUUUCUCUUCUCCUCUCUUAGCCCCUCCGAGAUCGAGAUGAUGCUCAGUACAGCCACCUUGGAGGAAACUGGGCUCGGAACAAGUGAACCUGAGACUGGUGGCUUCUAGAAGCAGCCAUUACCAACUGUACCUUCCCUUCUUGCUCAGCCAAUAAAUAUAUCCUCUUUCACUCAG
rnacentral:lncRNA from 1 species